AAUGAUGAGCCUGACCUAAAGGAAUAUCGUGAUAGGAUAUAUUAUGUGGAAUCUGGGUCCACCUUCAUUA
rnacentral:tRNA from 1 species